UCAAAAGCCAAAAGCUCUGUGUCACACCCGGGUUUAGGGGCAAAACCGAAUGCAUAACAUAUGUGUGCUAGGAAUAAAGACGUAAAAGAGAGUAUAAUAACUUAAUUAAAACAUCCGGACGUAAGAGUCUUAAACAAUAUCAUAAUCAAAGUACAACAUAAGUAACAUGGGCGAUCUCCCACAGGAAGCACAUGUGACUCCAACGGAACCUAUUAUAGUUAUCCUUCGCAUAAUCCAUUCAACCAUUUGAACACUAAACAUAUUCCACAUUCACCAACACAAUCACACAUCACAUGCAUAAAACCAGUACACUCUUCGCAUAAAUGUCUAUCGAUGCAUUCCUCACAACAUAAUCUGCAUUUUAAACUUAGUCCUCACAUCAAACAACUUGGCCCACUUGGGUCGCGCAUGUUAUCCAUCGGCUCGAGCCACAACAUCAUCAAGGGGUUGCGAGCAACGACAUACACAGUUACAGAUUUGGUCAAAUAGUCUAAUCGAGGAGCGUGGGAUAGCGAGGAGCCUCACCGGGGUUUGACAAUGUCAUGGCCAGGGCUGUGUAGAUCGAGGUGGAGCACGCAAUGUGGAGAUCCCACAGCUAUUGUGCAUGCCAAGGCAUCGGCUUGGGCCGAGCUCAACGAGGCGGAACGUGCAACACAUAGAAGGUCUGUGGCCGCUGCUGCUCGCGCGUGGAGGAGGUCGAGUGGCGCUCUACAACGAUCGUCGCUGGCGGACCCAACAUUGGGCUGGGCUCAGCCAAAAUGCAGAGAAGGACAUGCCUAGAAGCUCGUGUCGGUCGGAGGAGCUGCGUGUGUCGGGGCUAAGCGCCGGCAAGGAUCUCGGCGCGCAACCUAGGGCCUGGCAUGGCCAAGCUGGAAAGAAGAGGAUCGGUUGGGGGAACUCAGGCUCGGGUCCAAGGCGCCUGCUCGCUUGUGCGCCCGUGGAGGGAAGCAGAGGCAUGGGCGUGUGGGAGAAAGCUCGUCGUGGAGAGCGUCGAGCGGGGCUGUACAGAGGCGGCUUUGGAGUGGUGGCCGAGGAGGGAGAUGGGGGCGCACGGCUGGAGGAGCACGGCAUGGAAGAAGGUGCUGCUGCAGCCAUGGGAAAUG
rnacentral:misc_RNA from 1 species